AACGAAGAUGGCGACCGGCGCACGGGUGAGUAACACGUAUCCAACCUGCCUCAUACUCGGGGAUAGCCUUUCGAAAGAAAGAUUAAUAUCCGAUAGCAUAUAUUUCCCGCAUGGGUUUUAUAUUAAAGAAAUUCGGUAUGAGAUGGGGAUGCGUUCCAUUAGUUUGUUGGGGGGGUAACGGCCCACCAAGACUACGAUGGAUAGGGGUUCUGAGAGGAAGGUCCCCCACAUUGGAACUGAGACACGGUCCAA
rnacentral:rRNA from 1 species